rnacentral:lncRNA from 1 species
CAGAAUGAAAAAUCUCAAUUAAAUCAGAAAUGAUUCAAAUAAUUCCAACAAAAAUCAAGAACAUUCAAGACAUAUAACAUGAUCCACAUGCAAAAAAUCAGAAGGAUUGGAGAUCAAUUGGCAUGGCAAACACAUCAUACAAGUUGAACAUCAAAAGGUGUGACACCAAUUGUCACACCAACUUAGCACAAUCAUAAAACAGAAUUGGUAAUUGAUAAAAAU